GUUUCAUCACUCAAUCACAGUGGGUCCAGCAUGUGAUGCUGCCCCCGCGCUCUUACUAUUGCCGACCCCACAGCGCAGCACUGCAGGAGAGGAGACAGAGCGCCACCUUUCUCCUGGAUCUGAUGCUCCGCCCCCCUGCAGCGUCUCUUGGGAGAGACAUGACGACAGGGGUUUGAGGAGGAGGCAUUCCAGCUCACAGUGCAGCAGCAGCCCAGUGAGUCCGGAGUCAGACCUCCGGUGACCAUUUCCCCACCUGCCGUCAGUCACAGAGCUUGGGGGGACUCUCGGCACUUAACAGAAUUAACAUAAGAAAUCAGUACAGAAACAAUGAAGAACAGAAAAGCUUUUCAUAAAAUACAGAGAGAAUGGAGAUGUUAAAAAGACAAUUAUGGAUAUGCUUGAGUAAACAGCUUUCCCUGCUCUAUGGUCAGUGGCGGAUCUACAUUUUUGGGUCCCGGAAGCUUGAACUGUUACAACCAGCAACAAUAGGGCAACACUCAUUAAGGUCCAAAGGCCUUGCUGCCUUUGCAAGGACCUCACAGCCCAAAUGAUGGAGAAUGGGGUGGUGGUGUGGAAUCACCUCACAGUCCUACCCCCUUUCAAUAACCCUUCACAGAAACCCCACUUUAUUAAACACCUCACAGCACUUUUACUCCUCUCUUCUAUAAACACUUUAUAGCACACGCCGCUCAUCGCCAGAAAAAUGACCUUAUUAGAUGCCUUCUUGUCCUAGGCUACUUCUCACCUAUCAUUGGGGGUCAUUCCGAUGUAAUCGCAUGCUGCUGUUUUUCGCAGCGCAGCAAUCAGGUCACUACUGCAUAUGCGUAUGCACCACAAUGCACAGACGCAUCAUACGGGUACAAAGUGGAUCAUUGCUGUGCGAUGGAUUUAAUGAAGAAUCCAUUUGCACAGCCGAUCACAAGGAGAUUGAAAGGAAGAGGGUGUUUGUGGGUGUCAACUGGCCAUUUUCUGGGAGUGUUUGGAAAAACGCAGGCGUGUCCAAGCAUUUUCAAGGCGGGUGUCUGAUGUAAAUUCUGGGACCGGACAGGCUGAAGUGAUAGCAAGGGCUGAGUAAGUUCUGAGCGACUCAGAAACUGCACAAACUAUUUUUGUACCGCUCGUCUGCACAUGCGAUCGCACCAUUGCACAGCAAAUAUACACUCCCCAGUGGGCGGUGACUAUGCGUUUGUACGGCUGCAAAAAGUAGCUAGCAAGCGAUCAACUCGGAAUGACCCCCAUUGCUCCCAGCCUCCUUCCUAGGACGGAGGCUCCACCAUUCCUGGGAAUGUCACAAAGAGAACUUCUGCAGGCUGUCAGGAAUUGUAGUGUAAAACGGAUACAGACCCUAUUAUCCCUCCCCACCCCGUGAAUUUGCUUCCUUUGUAUUGCCCGGAGUCUACAUUCACCCGUAAACCAAUGUGCACGAGGCGCAAUGCCAGCUGGCCGGCCUAAUAUUGGGAAUGGAGAGAAGGAACCCGGACUCCCCGGGUAUUGUCCUUGGGGACUUUAACAAGGGAAAUUAAACUUCAGAUCUCCCCAAAUAUAAACUGAUAAUUAAAAAGGAGAAGAUUUUGUUGUUACAGCAUCAGUAGUGUUUUACAUGUGGCUCCAUGAGCGGCUCUGUGACCUCUUAUUCCUCUAAUCCCGGCAUAUAUGCAGAAACUAAAACUUUCUAAACCUGUCGUGAGGUGAACCAAGAAUUGGAGCAAUGGAGAAGCAGUUGGGGGAGGACGCCAAAAUAACAGUACUCUGAGAAGCUGUGAUGUACUUCUGUGAUGACUCCUCAUAAGCUGUGAUGACUCCUCGUAAUUCUGGAAGGGACUUAGGGAGAUUGCAAACUGCAAAACCAAAUAUCUCAAACUGUAUAAAUAUCCUCAAACUGGCAAAUGACCUGAAUGAGCUCUAUUGCAGAUUUGACAGACAAUGGAUCAGUCCUGACUUUGAUUCACAUACUCAGCCUAUCCCCCCAGUUACUGUAUCACACCCUUUCUUUCCAGUCUGGACAGAGACAAUGGGGGUCAUUCCGAGUUGAUCGCUAGCUGAAUAUGUUCGCUGCGAUUAAGUAAACAACCCGCACUUCUGCGUAUGCGGCGCAGUGCGCACACGCGACGUACUUUCACAACGGCCAAUGUAUUUUUACACAAGGUCUAGCGAAGCUUUUCAGUCGCAAUGGCCGCCGCAGAGUGAUUGACAUGAAGUGGGCGUUUCUGGGUGUCAACUGAUCGUUUUCAGGGAGUGCUCGAAAAAACGGAGGCGUGCCAAGAAAAACGCAGGCAUGGCUGGCCGAACGCAGGGCGUGUUUGUGACAUCAAAUCCGGAACUGAAUGGUCUGAAGAGAUCGCAAGCGCUGAGUAGGUGUGGAGCUACUCUAAAACUGCACAAUUUUUUUUUUGGUAGCCGCUCUGCGAUCCUUUCAUUCGUACUUCUGCUAAGCUAAAAUACACUCCCAGUGGGAGGCGGCAUAGCGAUUGCACGACUGCUAAAAACUGCUAGCGAGCGAUCAACUCGGAAUGACCCCCAAUAUCCUUUUGCACAUAAUGGACUCAAAUGGCCACCUCCCCUCCCCCAUUAAACCUCUCUCCAUUCAGAAAGACAUUAACAAACAUUUAGGAGACAGAAUCCAUGUAAGGCAGCUGGACCAUAUGCUGUCUCCUCUCUAUGCUGAAGCAUUGUACAGACCAGCUGUCCCCCGUGUUCACAGACAUCUUCAACACUUCACUUAUUGCAGGGUACCUGUCUGCUUCAAAACAUCUACCAUUAUCCCGGUUCCUAAAAAACUGAGGCUGACAGUCCUUAAUGACUACAGACCAGUUGCUCUGACCUCUGUGGUAAUUAAGACUUUUGAGCACCUUGUGCUGACCCACCUUAAGGAUACCACCAACUCCCUUUCUUGACCCACUGCAGUUUGCCUACAGCGCCAUAUUGUCAGUAGAUGAUGCAGUUAACAAGGAACUCCAUUUCAUGCUUCAGCAUCUAGAAUUUCUCACAACACCUAUGCCAGGAUCUUGUUUGUGGAUUUCAGCUCUGCAUUCAACACCAGCUGAACAUGCCUGAGCCCAUCUGCAGGUGGAUCAUUGAUUUCCUGACAGACAGGAAGCAGUACAUGAGGUUGGGUAAGUUAGUCUUGGGGUCAGAGACCAUCAGCACUGGAGCCCAACAAGGAUGUGUGCUCUCUCCCCUGCUCUCCUCUCUCUACACAGCUGCGCCCUUAGCCAACCAUCAGUCAAACUCUUGAAGUUUGCAGAUGACACAACCCUAACUGUGUUAAUCUCCAAUAGGGAUAAGUCUGCUUACAGAAGGGAAGUUGAUUACCUGCAGCCAGAACCACCUGGAGCUGAAUGCUCAUAAAAUUGUACAGAUGGUAGUAGAUUUCAGUAGGAGCCCAGCACUGACUACCCCCCUCAUUGUGUGUGACUUCCCAGUUAGCUCUGUGGAGUCAUUCAGAUUCUUGGGGACUAUAAUCUCCAAAGACCAUAGGUGGGAGGAGAAUGCACAGCAGAGGAUGUUCUUUCUGAAACAGAUGUAGAAAUUCAGCCUGAGGCAGAAAAUGAUGGUCCAGUUUUACACGGUCAUCACUGAUUCCAUCCUCACCUCAUCGAUCACCAUCUGGUAUGUUUCUUCCAAUGCCAAGGACAAAGGCAGACUUCAGCAGAUCAUAUGGCCGGCUAAGAAGGUUAUCGGCUGUGACCUUUCAUCUCUCCUGGACCUAUAUCACUCCAGGACCAGGAUCAUCGCUGACCAUUCCCACCCCAGUCACCACCUCUUUUCAGAAGAUGCCAUCUGGAAAAAGGUUUAGAUCAAAACUUCAUGCCAAAUAAAGUCUCUUCCCCAUCACGGUGGGGCUUUUGCCUCUCACUGACUAUGGGAUUUACCCCCCCCCCCCCCCAAUU